UCGUUUCUCUUUCUUCUGUCAAAAAUGUACUCAUUGUUAGUUGCUUUCGUUAAAAGCGUCUGAUAAAUGCCCUAAAUGUGAAUAUGAAUGUACUCGGGGAGAACUCCACAACUCCCAAAGCUAGAGGGUUUCACUGGAAAGCUAUUCCACGCUCCACCUUUUUGCCAUAAAAUAAAAUGCUAGAUGCCCUCAAUGUGAACGUUCAUUUAAAAGGGGAGGACCUCUUCUACGCGACCAGAGGCGUCCCUCUCACCUCGGUGGCCGUGACGGUGAAGACGGUGAUCAGGUGCUCCUUGUCGACGGGGAUGUGCAGCGAGGCGGGCAGCCUGCUGACACUCAGAAGGUACUGGGACAGCGCCCGGCACAGAGAGAGCACCCUGGGGAAGAACCCUGGCUCACCUGGAGCCACAGGAGAGGGUGGUGAGGGACAGGUAGACAGAGAGGAGGAGGGGGUUAAGAACAGGUAGACAGAGGAGAGGGUGGUUAAGAACAGGUAGACAGAGAGGAGAGGGUGGUUAAGAACAGGUAGACAGAGAGGAGAGGGUGGUGAAGAACAGGUAGACAGAGAGGAGGGGGUGGUUAAGAACAGGUAGACAGAGAGGAGGGGGUGGUUAAGAACAGGUAGACAGAGGAGAGGGUGGUUAAGAACAGGUAGACAGAGAGGGAGAGGGUGGUUAAGAACAGAGGAAGGAGAAUAGAAGCAGUUGGCAUGAACAGAUAGCAAAAUAAAAACGAUAGAGUAAUAAAACAGUGAAGGAACAUUGACCUGUAGCGCUACACUCCGGUUCAACAAUCGGAUAUAGCAACUCCUCUUGGGAGGUUGU
ensembl:lncRNA